ACCACCCGCCCCAGCCCCAGCCCCGGACGCGCCAGCGUCUCCGGUUUCCCAUUGAUGAAUGGAGGGAGGGAAGGCAGAUCGCGAGCGCCCUCGCACGCGGCAGCGGAACCUCCCGGAGCCCGGAAGCCCCCCGAGGGCCAGCCGCUGCACAGCGGGGAUCGCAGGGCUUGCACUAGAGGGAGGGAACCGUCUACGGGGAAGGAGGGACCUCCCUUGCUAACUAUUGCAAGGCACACACAUUAUGUGUUCUACGUUAUAUAAUCUACACAAAGAUGCCCGCGUGGCCGCGGCUCAGCCAGGGCACCCCCAAACCGCACGCUUCAUGCAGCCUCAGACUCCUGCAGACAUGAGACUCGAGCACUCCUCGAGCUGCUCGCAGGCUGCUGCCGGCAAUCCAUCGCUCCGCUCACGCUCUGACCGGGAAUACCGACAUUAAUGCACUCCCGGGAACAGUAACACGCGAAAAGCAUCACCUACCAGUUUUCCUGCAUCCAUUGGAUGGCUUCAUUCUCGUUGAACUGCUUUUCGAAUUCAUAUUCUUGUAAAGUCAACACUGACAUGUUCAUUGGGGCUGAUCUUCGGAGUCGCUACGUGUUCUCUAUACAAAAUAAAAAAAUCUGUAAAGAGCC